ACCCAUGUAGUAUAGUGGUUUGAACAUUGGACUAUGAUUCUAGAGACCAGGGUUCACAUUCCCACUUGGUCA